GAUGAACGCUGGCGGCGUGCCUAACACAUGCAAGUCGAGCGGUAAGGCCACUUCGGUGGUACACGAGCGGCGGACGGCUGAGUAACACGUAGGAACGUACCCCAAACUGAGGGAUAAGCACCAGAAAUGGCGUCUAAUACCGCAUGUGCUCUUAGGAGUAAAGCUACGGCGGUUUGGGAACGGCCUGCGCAUGAUUAGCUUGUUGGUAAGGUAAUGGCUUACCAAGGCGACGAUCAUUAGCUGGUCUGAGAGGAUGAUCAGCCAGACUGGGACUGAGAACGGCCCAGACUCCUACGGGAGGCAGCAGUGGGGAAUUUUCCACAAUGGGCGAAAGCCUGAUGGAGCAACGCCGCGUGCAGGAUGAAUGCCUUCGGGUUGUAAACUGCUUUUAUCUGUGACGAUUAUGACGGUAGCAGAUGAAUAAGGAUCGGCUAACUCCGUGCCAGCCGCCGCGGUAA
rnacentral:rRNA from 1 species